rnacentral:rRNA from 1 species
GUGGGGAAUUUUGGACAAUGGGCGAAAGCCUGAUCCAGCCAUGCCGCGUGCAGGAUGAAGGCCUUCGGGUUGUAAACUGCUUUUGUACGGAACGAAAAGACUCCUUCUAAUAAAGGGGGUCCAUGACGGUACCGUAAGAAUAAGCACCGGCUAACUACGUGCCAGCAGCCGCGGUAAUACGUAGGGUGCAAGCGUUAAUCGGAAUUACUGGGCGUAAAGCGUGCGCAGGCGGUUAUAUAAGACAGAUGUGAAAUCCCCGGGCUCAACCUGGGAACUGCAGUAGUGACUGUAUAGCUAGAGUGCGGCAGAGGGGGAUGGAAGUCCGCGUGUAGCAGUGAAAUGCGUAGAUAUGCGGAGGAACACCGAUGGCGAAGGCAAUCCCCUGGGCCUGCACUGACGCUCAUGCACGAAAGCAUGGGGAGCAAACAGGAUUAGAAACCCCAGUAGUCC